CAGAGUUUGGUUGCUGUCCCAGAGCGCAACGCACGAUUAAUAGCACCCCGUGUUUGUAGCUUAAAUUUAUAAAUUGAAGGAAUGUGUGUGUGUGCGUGAGUUGUUCGUUCAUGUGUUGUGCAUUGUGUGUAAAAAGAAAACAAAAUUUAGUUGAAAAUUGUUUUUUCGUAACCGUUCUGUGCCGAGGACUGUUUGGAAAUCUGGCGUGCGUCGCAUCGAAACCAAGCUGAUUGAGGCUUAACACAUCCCAGCCAGAGCUGUUGCCGAGACUGCCUGCUGUUGUGCUUAAAACACGUAUCGAAACGCUGCACACGUACCGAGUGUAGUGGUGCAGUGCAUACGAGUGGUAGCGAACCACAGCCACUGUAUAACGCAGUUAGCCAUCGUUUAAUGCUGAAUGUGUCACUCCGUACUACAUCCAUUAGCUGCUAGUGCUAGAAUCACCAUCGUUCCAUCGUCACCAACCUGCAUCAGGACAUUCGCGACGUGCAUUCUUACGUUCGUUUCACUGCUUUCCUUCGGCAUGCUGUAGUCCAGUGCCCCGACCCACAUGUACGAUCCGCCCGCAGUACCGUGCUUCAUUGUGUUAUAAAGCAAAACAGAACCCAAAAAAAAGCGUCAGACAGAUGCAUUAGCUUCUGUUUUAGUUUAAACAUUUUUUCAGUUUAAAAUCGUUCAUGUUCUGUUGUUAAGUUCUAGUUGUAUGGAAAAAUUGUUUUACCUUUUUCGUUUGUCUCCGUGUGGGUUUCGUGUUUCAUUUUUGUGUUUUUAACCGCACUAGUAGGAAGAUUGUUUUCUAUACAUUAUUCUAUGCGUGAAAACCGAAGGACUUUUGCCCAAUUGAACUGCAACAAGGUUAAUACGCCCACCUCCCGCAAACGUGCAAUAGAAGCGAUUGUACAAGUGUAUUGUGUAAAGUGUUUUGUUGAGAACGUGUGUCAGUGUUUAGUGUUUUUUUUUUAUUUAUUACAACGCCAUUUAUUACCACAGCUGGUCUCCAGUACAGUGCACCCAGCCGGGAGUUUAAGUUGCAGUUGGUCAAGCAGCCAGGAGAGCAAAGUUUGCCAAAAUGAGGAAAACCGACACACAAAUGAACGUAGCUGGUAUACGUCGUAACAUCAAAAACAUCGCCCACAACUACUCCGAUGCGCAGGUGAAGGUACGGGAGGCUACCUCGAACGAUCCAUGGGGCCCAUCGUCCACGAUCAUGGCGGAGAUUGCCGACCUCACGUACAACGUGGUGGCUUUUUCCGAAAUCAUGCAGAUGAUCUGGAAGCGCAUGAAUGACCACGGCAAAAACUGGCGACAUGUGUACAAGGCACUGUUGCUGUUGGAGUACCUUAUCAAGACUGGUACGGAGAAGGUGGCGCAGCAGUGUAAGGAAAAUAUCUACGCCAUCCAGACACUGAAGGAAUUCCAAUAUAUGGAAGAGGGCAAGGAUCAGGGCAUGCAUGUACGGGAGAAGGCGAAACAGCUUGUUUCACUGCUGAAGGAUGAUGAGCGGCUCAAGAAUGAGCGGGCCCGAGCGUUGAAGGCAAAGGAACGCUUUGCCCGAACGGCCAGCGGAUUCGGCAGCGAUGGUUCGAUCGAUGGCCCGACACAACGUGACCCAAGGCCACCGAACUGGGGCGAAGGUGAACCGAUUGCGGGUGCAGCAACGAGUGGUGUUGGAAAGCCGGUAUCAGAGAUUGAAUUCGUACGGCCGCAAACUGUCGGCGAAGAAGAAUUGCAGCUCCAGCUGGCAAUGGCCAUGUCUAGGGAAGAAGCCGAACAGGAGGAGCAAAAGCGUCGCAGUGAUGAUGUUCGGUUGCAGUUGGCACUUAGUCAAAGCGAACAGGACUUCAAGAAGGACAAUGACCCUAAGGAGGGUGGUAGUGCAUUAGUAGAUUUGUUGGACAUUUCUUUCGGAGCGGCCUCGAUUAGCAGUCCGUCGCAACAGCCGCUUGCCGGACCUUCGGGUACCGGUGGACCGAUUGAUCCUUGGGGCAUGCCCGUGGCAGGUGGAUCUCGUCCGACGACGUCGGAUCCCUGGUCAAGAACCUCAUCCCCACCGGCGGUAGUGGAUCCGUGGUUAAACACCGCUUCGGCUUUACCUUCGGCAGGACCAUCCAUCUCGAAACCACCGUUGCUGGGAGCAGAAGCAUGGCAACCACGCACCCAAUCGCCCUCGGUCACAUCCGGAUCGUCGGUUGAGGGAUGGCUGCAAAAUGGUGGAGGUGCUGGUGCGGGUGCAGGAGCCAUGAUGAUGAAUGGUGCCGGGUCUACGAACGGAAACCUAGAUCCUUGGUAUAACAAGACAAAUGCUGUUCCUCUCGGAGCUACUGCGCCUCCUCAGACAGGUGAUCCUUGGCAGGCAAAUAAACGAACAACGCCUGUGCCUAAUGCUGCUGCUGCUGGUGGUGAUCCGUGGCAGUCAAACGCAACUGCUACUAAACUUGAUCCAUGGGCUCCGGUGGGUAGUAAUUCUGCCACUGGAAGUGUCGGUGAUCUUGAAGCUACAUUUGGUGGUGGCAAUGGACCGCUCAUGAAUCGUCCUUCCCCUGUCGGUGCGAUCACUUCGCCGGUAUCGGAUCUAGAUGAGUUUGACAUAAUUACCAAGCGAGCCGCCAGCAACCACAGUAGCAGCAGUACCAACAACAAUAAUAACCAUAAUGCCGCUAGCAACAAUCUGAAUAACAAUAGUUCACUGCUUCUGGGUGACCUAGAUCCAUUAUCGUCCUCCGGAACGAACUCCAGCUCGCCUAGUAUGGGUGCGACGACGGUUGCAAAGAAGACACCCCAAUCGUUCCUUGGUGAAAACUCGGCACUCGUCAAUUUAGACAAUCUAAUCAAACCGAUGCCGAGCGGUGGCGCUGUUGCCGCAUCAACCAUCACAUCCGCGGCAUACAAUCCGUUCGGCGAUACCGGUGGAGCCGGGGCACCCGUACAAAAGAACCUAUUCCAACAGAAUCAACCUCAGGUUCCGUCCAUCAAUCAGUUGAAACAGUCCCCGUUUCCAGUAACACUUAAUCAGGAUCCUUGGGCACCGGUUUCAAACAUGACCGCAGCGCAACACGCCGCGUCCAGUAGCAAUGGAGCUUGGACACUGAAAUAAACGUCCCUUUUAACCGAGUGGAAUUACCGUGCGCGUGUAGAAUCACCAACGUUCCCAUUACCCUUUUACCAUUUCCUCCUUUUCCGCCUCACACAAACACACACAUUAUCCAAACCAGUACCUCCGAUUCCAUCUUUCCUGUAGGUAGUAAUUGAUCCGACCUCGUAACCUUCCUGGUACGCGAUUUUGGACCCCCAACGCUGUGGUGUGCUGUUUCCAUGGCCUGGUCGGGUGAUUGGUGAUUGGGGGCAAACUCUGUAGCAAAAAAACGUGCUCCUGUAACACACGCUUAUGCCUGUACGGUGACUGUAUGCUUUAUCCCGGGGUUUACCCAUGGCCAUCAGCAACUUUACACACUCAUCAUCAGAAACAAGAACAACCCAAGCUGCUGCCUCCUUCUGCUGCCUAUGUGUAUGUGUGUGUCUGUGUGUAUGUUCAAGCAUUUGUUACGUUUCCUUGUACAUCGUGUGCGCUGGUCAUCUGCCCGUGAACAUCAACUGAAUCUCUUGGACAACGCUCUGUUUAAUCCCGCUCGCUCAGUAUAACUGCCGCGUAUAUCGAAAGUGCUCGCUUCUGGCCAAUUUAAACAAUAAUAAUAGUGGGCCCUGGAUGAAUCCUCAGUCGUCGAAUCCAUUCCUAUCGUAACAAGUCACUGCAAGCAGAUGUACACGGCGCAAUGCGCCCGAUGCAGCACAGAUCCUUUCACGUUGGGACUAGAAAGGGGUGCUGGCGGAAGACCGGUGGAGGUAGAAAAGAAAGAGCAAGUUGUACGUAUGAAACAAAAGCAUGGUAGUAUAAAGGAAGGGACUGAGGAAAAACCAGGCACAGAAGAACACGCGCUGGAAAGCAUGCAAACUAACCAAACAUUGUUUUAAACGAGGGAACACAAGCGGCAAAUAAAUGAAACAGUAAGGCAAUACUACUAAAGAGAACAACCAAACAACACACUGGAAGUGAAGCAAACCGGCUAACAAGAAUAGUUUACAUCCAGCUAGGUCCUUACACCCAUCUCGCAACCAAACCAUUUACAUGUAAUUGAUACAUAAACGAAAGAACCUGGAAAGUGAAUACUUUUGAUUCAUUUACAUACACACAUAUACGAUAACUGUGCAACAGAAAUCGCAAUUUGGUUGGAGCCCGGAAAUAGGAAUUAGCCAGCAACUUGAACUUUAUAUACGUAAAGAAUAUUUGCUUGAUCAUCACACUACUUAACACAACGCCAUGAUUUUGCCCCGAUAGAAAGCAAUUCUACCAGUCGCCGAUGGUUUCCAUUUGCCGUGAUUUCAAACAGCAAAUGUUCUACAGUUUGGUGGAUGAAGUGGAAGUUACAUUGGACGUCGAUUAGUAAAUGUGGUAGCCAGGGGAAAGGCUAGAGUACGCAGGGAGGGAAGCAGCACCGGCUAAGCGAAUUCCGCGGACGGUAGGAAAAAUUUAAGCAAAUUAGUGGGAAAAUGCCUUAUUAUAGUUGAGAAACGAUGAACUUGGGAUGAGACUACGUUAGUAAGCUCUAAACAUUAAACUACUACUAAAUGAUAAAGAAGAAAACAAUGAUACCACAACACUAGUUCGAGAGGGAAGAAUACAGAAAAUCCGUUUUGGCAUCUGUUUGUUGUAUGUUUUGGUGUGUUUGAAAGCGACAAACACCGGAAGGCAAAACCGAUUUAAAAAGAGACAUUCUUUAAGUUCUAUGGGCACUCACAUUUAUGACGGGUUUCACACGUUACUAGCUCGAAGUAACUCUUCCUCAAAAGCAGUAACUCCUAUGUCUUUUGUCUAAAAUCCUUUAUAUGUAAUUCACGCGUUUGUUUGGUAGCCCUAGGGAAGUACGAGUGUACACAUUAUAAUUUAUUAAACCUGCUUCCUCGGAACAACAUCGGGCAAACUAUGUGAAAGACUACAGAAAUAUUGUCUUCUUUUGGCACUUUCGUACCUAAACUUAUUCGUCUACUGAUUUUCAAUUGAUAUUCAUCAAACUGUCACGAGUAUAACACCAGAUUGUGAUGAAGGUCGCAAUACUAUUUUUGCGGGUACGCCACAUUUUGCUGCUUUGUUCCUUCCGUUUCAUUGUUCUGUAAUGUAUUAUUUAUCGUAAGAUAGCGGAAAGAUCGGUUCAUUAUCGGAUGGGUUUUAGAUUUUAACUGUAGAAAGCAAUGCCGCGGGAUUUAUUUGUGACACAAAAGCUGACGGCGGCAAACACAAAUGAACGUUUUCUAAGCCACCAGAGCAGAGAGAUGAAACAUUUAUAGAGAAGAACAUGAGAAUCCAACGAAAAAUACCAGGGUUGAUGGAAUUAGAGAGGCGAUCGAAAGGACAUGAUGAUUAUGUGAGAAAACAGAACAAGCUUCAUCUUUAUAAACACGAUACAAAACAUUGUUUGUAUAGGAUAACGACAGGUAACUGAUACUAAAAAGCAAAAAUCAUAAAAAAAUUAUAUAUACAUGAGCAACUGAAAUUAUAUAUUUUUUAAACUCUGAAUAAAUCAUUAAUUUUCAAACUGCUGCUAUUGCGUUUUGGAAG